GACGAACGCUGGCGGCGUGCCUAAUACAUGCAAGUAGAACGCAGGCGCGAACGGGUGAGUAACGCGUAGGUGAUUGCCUCGUAGCGGGGGAUAACGAUUGGAAACGAUAGCUCAUACCGCAUACUGUGAGACGGAUAUGCGUUGGAUUAGCUAGUUGGUGGGGUAAUGGCCCACCAAGGCGACGAUACAUAGCCGACCUGGGAGGGUGAUCGGCCCCACUGGGACUGAGACCCGGCCCAGACUCCUACGGGAGGCAGGCGUAGGGAAUCUUCGGCAAUGGGCGGAAGUCUGACCGAGCAACGCCGCGUGAGGGAAGAAGGUUUUCGGAUCGUAAAGCUCUGUUGUUAUGGAAGCGGUACCUAACCAGAAAGGGACGGCUAACUACGUGCCAGCAGCCGCGGUAAUUC
rnacentral:rRNA from 1 species